ACCAGCUCCCAGUGAAGGGGAUCAAAAAAGAGUGUUGGGAAAGGCAGUCUCAAGCAUGCCUUCUUUCAGCCACUUAAGAAUGGGCUUUCCCAAGAGAUAGCGAGCCUGCACCCCUGUGACGGAUUUAUCGCCUCGGGUGGGAAUCGUUUCAGACUCACCACGUGCUCCUCUGUUUUGCUUAAGUGCAUGUGUCAGUGCCCUCAGGUGUACUCCCAGCUUUCGGUCAUGCCAAUUCUGAAAAUGAAACAAACAAACAAACAAAAAAACCCAAAAACCAUAGUGUUGGGACUACUUACAGAGCAUUUUAACUUGGCUGCAUAGAACUUCAUGUGCUGUUUGGGGCACAAAUUCAUACGGCCCCAAGGAAAAGAACAAAUGCUGACCACGGAGACAGGGUUGCAAGCUCCUUGAGGACCUGGAGAGGGCUUUGUUCACCAGUGAUGCCUAGGAAUUGGAACUGAGCCAGGCAUUUAGGAGGGAUGCAACAGCAGUUAUUAAAUGAA